AGGGUUCGAUUCUGGCUCAGGAUGAACGCUAGCGGCAGGCUUAACACAUGCAAGUCGAGGGGCAACGCGAGUAGCAAUACUUGGCGGCGACCGGCGCAAGGGUGCGUAACGCGUGAGCAACAUGCCCGUAUCAGGGGGAUAAUCCAGGGAAACUUGGUCUAAUACCCCAUAGUAAUUUUGUAAGGCAUCUUAUAAGAUUUAAAGCUUUGGUGGAUACGGAUUGGCUCGCGUGACAUUAGCUGGAUGGUAAGGUAACGGCUUACCAUGGCUAUGAUGUCUAGGGGUUCUGAGAGGAAGGUCCCCCACACUGGAACUGAGACACGGACCAGACUCCUACGGGAGGCAGCAGUGAGGAAUAUUGGUCAAUGGGCGAGAGCCUGAACCAGCCAAGUCGCGUGAAGGAAGAAGGAUCUAUGGUUCGUAAACUUCUUUUGCAGGGGAAUAAAGUGCAGGACGUGUCCUGUUUUGUAUGUACCCUGAGAAUAAGGAUCGGCUAACUCCGUGCCAGCCGCCGC
rnacentral:rRNA from 1 species